rnacentral:rRNA from 1 species
AGUGAAGCGGGAAAAGCUCAAAUUUAAAAUCUGGCGGCUUCGCCGUCCGAGUUGUAAUCUAGAGAAGUGUUACCCGCGUUGGACCGUGUACAAGUCUCCUGGAAUGGAGCGUCGUAGAGGGUGAGAAUCCCGUCUUUGACACGGACUGCCAGGGCUUUGUGGUACGCUCUCAAAGAGUCGAGUUGUUUGGGAAUGCAGCUCAAAAUGGGUGGUAAAUGCCAUCUAAAGCUAAAUAUAGGCGAGAGACCGAUAGCGAACAAGUACCGUGAGGGAAAGAUGAAAAGAACUUUGGAAAGAGAGUUAAACAGUACGUGAAAUUGCUGAAAGGGAAACGCUUGAAGUCAGUCACGCUGCGAGAAAUCAACCUUGCUUUUGCUUGGUGUACUUUCUUGUUUGCGGGUCAGCAUCAGUUUUGAUCGUUGGAUAAAGAUUGUGGAAAUGUGGCACCUUCGGGUGUGUUAUAGUCUGCAGUUGCAUACAACGGUUGGGACUGAGGCACUCAGCGCGCCGCAAGGCCGGGUUUCGACCACGUUCGCGCUUAGGAUGCUGGCAUAAUGGCUUUAAUCGACCCGUCUUGAAACACGGACCAAGGAGUCUUACAUGCCUGCGAGUGUUUGGGUGGAAAACCCGAGCGCGUAAUGAAAGUGAAAGUUGAUAUCCCUGUCGCGGGGAGCAUCGACGCCCANACCAGAACUUCUGUGACGGACCUGCGGUANAGCUGUAUGUUGGG